GCGCGAUUAGCUCAGCGGGAGAGCACUUCCCUGACACGGAAGGGGUCACUGGUUCAAUCCCAGUAUCGCGCAC
rnacentral:tRNA from 2 species